rnacentral:rRNA from 1 species
GUCCACGCGUAAACGAUGAGUGCUAAGUGUUGGAGGGUUUCCCCCUUCAGUGCUGCAGCUAACGCAUUAAGCACUCCGCCUGGGGAGUACGACCGCAAGGUUGAAACUCAAAGGAAUUGACGGGGGCCCGCACAAGCGGUGGAGCAUGUGGUUUAAUUCGAAGCAACGCGAAGAACCUUACCAGGUCUUGACAUCCUUUGACCACUCUAGAGAUAGAGCUUUCCCUUCGGGGACAAAGUGACAGGUGGUGCAUGGUUGUCGUCAGCUCGUGUCGUGAGAUGUUGGGUUAAGUCCCGCAACGAGCGCAACCCUUAUUGUUAGUUGCCAUCAUUCAGUUGGGCACUCUAGCGAGACUGCCGGUGACAAACCGGAGGAAGGUGGGGAUGACGUCAAAUCAUCAUGCCCCUUAUGACCUGGGCUACACACGUGCUACAAUGGGAAGUACAACGAGUCGCUAGGCCGCGAGGUCAUGCAAAUCUCUUAAAGCUUCUCUCAGUUCGGAUUGCAGGCUGCAACUCGCCUGCAUGAAGCCGGAAUCGCUAGUAAUCGCGGAUCAGCACGCCGCGGUGAAUACGUUCCCGGGCCUUGUACACACCGCCCGUCACACCACGAAAGUUUGUAACACCCGAAGUCGGUGAGGUAACCUUUUGGAGCCAGCCGCCUAAGGUGGGAUAGAUGAUUGGGGUGAAGUCGUAACAAGGUAACCAAGGGCGAAUUCCAG